rnacentral:ribozyme from 1 species
UUUGUAAAAUGAAAGACAGAGAGAAAGAAGGAAAGAAAGAAAGAAAUAUAGUACACAGUUUUGUAUGCUUAUUAUUUUACUCAAUUCUAAUAUUUU